CCCUCCUGCUUCUUGCGGACUCCUUCUGGCUGCCAAUUGCAGACACUGUUGAGCAAAUCAUCAGGGGAGCAGCAAGUGUACAGGCAGUUUGAAGAGCAGAGCCUUGGACCAGAGGAUCUCAAGUAUGUGUGCUGCAGACCCUUCUCGCUGCCUGAAGAAGUCCAGGGACUCCUCCCCAGAAUAAUGUUUUAAAUGCAUAAAAUAAAACACUUGAGAUUAUAAAGGAAACAAGCCAUAUCAAAAUAUAAUUAACAAUAUUUUUUGAA